AGUGCGCAGGCGCGCGGCCGCCGCCGGGGAGGGGGUUCCCAGGGCGCGCGGCCCGGACCCCCGAGUCCGUGCUCUCCGACCCUCCUGUCACCCCGGGACACCGUGUGGGGGGCGCCCAGAGCCCCGGCCGCCGGGAGGAGGAGGAGGCGGCGCCCGGGGAACGCCCAGCAGCCGAUCAGCCCCGGCAUUUGGCGACGCAGCAAAUCCAGCCCUGCGGGGAGGGGGCCCUGUCCCUGGGCCGGCCCCAUGCCCAGGCUGCAGGGCCUCGCCCGCCCCCAGCCGCAUCUCCCUGCCCCUGGCGCCUCCCAGGACCUGUGACAGUCCGGGGGGCUUGACCGGGGCUGCCCUGGCUUCAGCCUUCUCAUCUGCACAGUGGAAACUCAGGAAAACACCGCCUGUGUGAGCCUCCUGGAGCUGUGCAAUGAAUCACACACGUGCAGUGGCUUGAAACGACCCACAUCGAUUCUCUCACGGUUCUGGAGGUCAGAAACCCGACAUGGGGGCCUCACUGGGCUAACAUCAAGGUGUGCGCAGGGCUGGUCCCUCCUGGGGGCUCCAGGGGAGAAUCCAGUUCCUGCCUUUCCCAGCGUUUAGAGGCGCCCACAUCCUUCAGCUUGGGCCCCUUCCCACUCACAGCCAAGAGCAGCCUCUUCCGGUCUCUGACUCUCACCCGGCUGCCUCCUCUCAUGAGGACCCUGUGAGGACACUGGGCUCCCCGAUCAUCCAGGGUGAUCUCCCAUCUCAAAAUCCUAACCCAGUCCCACCUGCAGAGUGCCUUGCGCCUUGGAAGUUUCCCUGGCCAUGCCCUUCCCAGGAUGUGCACCCUGAAAAACACCCUGAAAAGGCCUUGUGGCCGGGCGCGGUGGCUCACGCCUGUAAUCCCAGCACUUUGGGAGGCUGAGGUGGGCGGAUUUUCUGAGGUGGAAGUUCAAGACCAGCCUGGCCAACAUGGUGAAACCCCGUCUCUACUAAAUAGUAAAUACAAAAAUUAGCCGGGGGUGGUGACAUGCACCUGUAAUCCCAGCUACUUGGGAAGUUGAGGCGGGACAAUUGCUUGAACCUGGGAGGCGGAGGUUGCAGUGAGCAGAGAUCCUGCCACUGCACUCCAGACUGGGCGAAAGAGCGAGACUCCAUCUCAAAAAAACACAAAAAAACAACAAAAAAACUAAGGCCUUGUUGGGAGACAGAUCAGCUGGGACCAGGGCACAGGGCACCAGGCUCCCAGUGGUUCUCUGAGAGUCAUCUGGGUGUCUUCUGGGCUCCACCCCCUGGUAAUAGGAGGAGGAGAGGACGCCAGGAGAUCAGCGGAGUGCUUUGUUCACGGUCACUGGGGCAGGGCGGUGGCCUUUGGCCAUCUCCUGGGCCAGCCCUGCCCCACACUUCCUUGGGGACUGUGCAGGGGCUGAACCCCAGGGAGGUGGGGCAUGCACGCUGCUCCUGAUGCCACUCCGUCAGAGCAGCGUGGAUGGCCCCAUGGCUGCCCCGGGCUCCUGGCCAGACACCCACAGCCCGGGCAGGUAGGCAGCCCCAGGCUCCAGGCCACACCUGCCCUGCCCACUCCCUGCCCCCACUGGAGGACCGCGGGCCCUGGCUGUGUCCCCAGGCAGGCCUGCCGAGCCACUGGAGUGGAGUGAGUGUGAGUCAGCCGGCAAGAAGGGACGCUUGCGGCCACUUACAUCAGAUAUUCCUGCCUCGUGGCCCCAUGGCCAGAGCUCUCAGCCCCGCAGGGGUCCUGAAAUGACCCUGCCCACGGCCCUUCAUAGCAAGGGAUGGCCCUUGGGCCGUGGUUCUGGUCCCUGGAGAGCCAAGCAGGUGGGAACUGUGAGGUGGUCUCUCGUGCCACCCACUACACUUGCAAGUGUGUACAGGCGUGCACAGCCCACCCCCACCUUUCACUCCCACAUGGGCCCAUGGCUGACCCUGCAAGGACCUAGGCUUGGGGCCUCCCCCAGGGACGCCUGCCUCCGCGGGCACACAGACACACGCCCCGAUCUGCUCACACUCGUACCCACACCAAGUUUUUUUUUUUUUAUGUUGUAGGGGAAAGGUCUUUAUUGUCACCGCCCCCCGCCCCCGUAGGGUUGUCUGAUAUAAUACGGACACCAAGCUAACUUUGAAUGGCAAAUAAACAGUGAAUAACUGGGCCUGGCGUGGUGAUCCCAGCAUUUUGGGAGGCUGAGGCGGGAGAAUCAUUUGAGGCCAGGAGUUCAAGACCAGCCUAGGCAACAUGUUGAGACCCCCCCAUCUCUACCGAAAAUAAAAUUAGCUGAGCGUUGCUGGGCGCGGUGGCUCACGCUUUGGGAGGUGGAGGUGGGUGGGUCACCUGAGCUCAGGAGUUCCAGACCAGCCUGGCCAACAGGGCAAAAGCCCGUCUCUACUAAAAAUACAAAAAUUAGCUUGUCGUGGUGGUGCGCGCCUGUAGUCCCAGGUCGUCAGGAGGCUGAAGCAUGAGGAUCUCCUGAACCUGGGAGGUGGAGGUUACCGUGAGCCGAGAUCGAGCCACUGCACUCCAGCCUGGCAACAGAGCGAGACUCCGUCUCAAAACAAACAAACAAACAAACAAAAAGCCUCCAGACAAUGGAGCCCCCCAUAGGAUCCCUUGUUGCACACAUCCAGCCGGGCCCUGUGCUGGGUGGUCGGGGGUGGUCAGGGUGGGCUGUGUGGCCAGCCUCCCUGGCUUGAGGGAGAUGGGUGGAGGGAGAAGCCCAGGGCUGGCAAGUCAGGACCUGCCUGGGCACCUCUUCUGGGGCUUUGGGGACACCCUACAUGCCACACAGGCUGAAAAUCGCCCUGCAUUCUGCAGAACUAAAGAAAAAAAGCAAAAAGAAUCACUCUACAGAUUGAGGAAGCGCUCAAAGGCUGGCAGGAGGCAGACAGGUUGCCCCCAAGGAAGCGGGGGCUGUGCACCUUUGGGCAGAGGCCGGCCAAGCCUGCUCCGAGACCAGGGGCAGGACAGGUCGCCUCCAGGGAGCUGCAGGACCCGGGGCAGGCUGAGCCUUUGGGCCUCCACCGCUGGAGUCUCAUGGUGGGGUGGGUGGUGCGGCCUCCACUGUCACAAGGCGUCUGUUGUCCCAGGAAGUAAGCAGGAGUCUGUCCCUGUCCUGGAGGGAAGGCCGUGCCACCCAGUGGCUGUGGGACCCUAGGAAGUAGCCGUGAGGGCGGGAGGUGGCGCAGGGGUCUGGGUCACCCCAGGGCCGGCCUGCAGGG
rnacentral:lncRNA from 1 species